ACGCUCGACACCUACGGGGGGCAGCAGUGGGGAAUAUUGCACAAUGGGGGAAACCCUGAUGCAGCGACGCCGCGUGGAGGAAGAAGGUCUUCGGAUUGUAAACUCCUGUUGUUGGGAAAAAAGNGGAUGGUACCCAACAAGGAAGUGACGGCUAACUACGUGCCAGCAGCCGCGGUAAUCNGAGGCGGGCUGGCAAGGC
rnacentral:rRNA from 1 species